GAUGAACGCUGGCGGCGUGCCUAAUACAUGCAAGUCGAGCGAAUGGAUUAAGAGCUUGCUCUUAUGAAGUUAGCGGCGGACGGGUGAGUAACACGUGGGUAACCUGCCCAUAAGACUGGGAUAACUCCGGGAAACCGGGGCUAAUACCGGAUAACAUUUUGAACCGCAUGGUUCGAAAUUGAAAGGCGGCUUCGGCUGUCACUUAUGGAUGGACCCGCGUCGCAGUAGCUAGUUGGUGAGGUAACGGCUCACCAAGGCAACGAUGCGUAGCCGACCUGAGAGGGUGAUCGGCCACACGGGGACGGAGACACGGCCCAGACUCCUACGGGAGGCAGCAGUAGGGAAUCUUCCGCAAUGGACGAAAGUCUGACGGAGCAACGCCGCGUGAGUGAUGAAGGCUUUCGGGUCGUAAAACUCUGUUGUUAGGGAAGAACAAGUGCUAGUUGAAUAAGCUGGCACCUUGACGGUACCUAACCAGAAAGCCACGGCUAACUACGUGCCAGCAGCCGCCGUAA
rnacentral:rRNA from 1 species